rnacentral:rRNA from 1 species
AAAGGGCGGGGGAUUCGUUCCGGACCUCGCGCGUAGUUGGAGGCCGGCCGAUUGGUCGGUAAUUAGCUUAGUUGGGUGGGGUAAAGGCCUACCAAGGCGAUGAUCCGUAGCUGGUCUGAGAGGAUGAUCAGCCACACUGGGACUGAGACACGGCCCAGACUCCUACGGGAGGCAGCAGUGGGGAAUUUUUGGACAAUGGGCGCAAGCCUGAUCCAGCCAUGCCGCGUGCGGGAAGAAGGCCUUCGGGUUGUAAACCGCUUUCGGACGGGAAGAAAUCGCACGGGCCAAUACCCUGUGUGGAUGACGGUACCGGAAUAAGAAGCACCGGCUAACUACGUG